CCACGUCAGCGGCUCAGGGUUGGCCCAUAUAAUCACAUGGGCCUGACUGCCCCGUGUGCUUGGAAAGGACGCUACUCAAAAAAUAUCCAACACAAACACAGUGUGUACCCCCUGGACCAUAUAUAUCGUCACAUUCACCGCUGGCAUCCGUGUGCAUUUGAUUUGAUUUUCAUCUCUUUUGGUCCUCUCCCUGACGCCAUGGGGGUGCCUUUUUGCAGGUCAGUACGGUCGGUCUGUGAAUGCACCGCUGUUGCUGGCUUUGGGCGCCUGCGACUCGAUGCGAGCUCAUGCCUCAAGUGUGAGGAGAUCAACAAGAUUCUGGGAGACGCACACGCGCACCAACAGUGUCAGCAUGAUGCGCAUCUCGUGAGCUGCUACUGCUCUUUCUGUUCCAAACUCUGUGCUGAGAAGUUCAAUCAACGGGCCUGAAUAUAUAGCCAUUUUUGGUGUAUUCCGAUCGACUU